ACUUAGCUGACAAGUCACAAAUAGGACGUAACGCGCGUCCUGGAU
rnacentral:hammerhead_ribozyme from 1 species